rnacentral:tRNA from 1 species
CCUGAUAGCUUAGUUGGUAAAGAAUCCGCCUGCAAUGCAGGAGGCCCUGGUUCAAUUCCUGGAUCAGGA